rnacentral:rRNA from 1 species
UGGGGAAUAUUGCACAAUGGAGGGAACUCUGAUGCAGCAACGCCGCGUGAAGGAAGAAGUAUUUCGGUAUGUAAACUUCUAUCGACAGGGAAGAAAAGGACAGUACCUGAAUAAGAAGCACCGGCUAAAUACGUGCCAGCAGCCGCGGUAAUACGUAUGGUGCAAGCGUUAUCCGGAUUUACUGGGUGUAAAGGGUGAGUAGGCGGUUAUAUAAGUCAUAUGUGAAAUGUCAAGGCUUAACCAUGGCGCUGCAUAAGAAACUGUAUAACUUGAGUGCAGGAGAGGCAAGCGGAAUUCCCAGUGUAGCGGUGAAAUGCGUAGAUAUUGGGAAGAACACCGGUGGCGAAGGCGGCUUGCUGGACUGUAACUGACGCUGAGUCACGAAAGCGUGGGGAGCGAA